rnacentral:rRNA from 1 species
UACGGAGGGGGCUAGCGUUGUUCGGAAUCAUUGGGCGUAAAGGGCGCGUAGGCGGCCGAUCAAGUCGGAGGUGAAAUCCCUCGGCUCAACUGAGGAAUUGCCUUCGAUACUGUUCGGCUUGAGUCCUGGAGAGGGUAGCGGAAUUCCCGGUGUAGCGGUGAAAUGCGUAGAGACCGGGAAGAACACCAGUGGCGAAGGCGGCUACCUGGACAGGUACUGACGCUGAAGCGCGAAGGCUAGGGGAGCAAACAGG